CACGUACUGUGCGAACGUUAUUCGGAAUCACUGGGCUUAAAGGGUGCGUAGGCGGUUUAUCAAGUCAGAUGUGAAAUGCCUGAGCUCAACUGAGGCACUGCGUUUGAAACUGAUAGACUUGAGUAUUUCAGGGGUAUGCGGAACUGCCAGUGGAGCGGUGAAAUGCGUUGAUAUUGGCAGGAACACCAGUGGCGAAGGCGGCAUACUGGGAAAUUACUGACGCUGAGGCACGAAAGCCAGGGUAGCGAAC
rnacentral:rRNA from 1 species